CCUACGGGAGGCAGCAGUAGGGAAUCUUCCGCAAUGGACGAAAGUCUGACGGAGCAACGCCGCGUGAGUGAAGAAGGUUUUCGGAUCGUAAAACUCUGUUGUCAGGGAAGAACAAGUGUGGGAGUAACUGCCCGUACCUUGACGGUACCUGGCCAGAAAGCCACGGCUAACUACGUGCCAGCAGCCGCGGUAAUACGUAGGUGGCAAGCGUUGUCCGGAAUUAUUGGGCGUAAAGCGCGCGCAGGCGGCCUUUUAAGUCUGAUGUGAAAGCCCCCGGCUCAACCGGGGAGGGUCAUUGGAAACUGGAAGGCUUGAGUGCAGAAGAGAAGAGCGGAAUUCCACGUGUAGCGGUGAAAUGCGUAGAGAUGUGGAGGAACACCAGUGGCGAAGGCGGCUCUUUGGUCUGCAACUGACGCUGAGGCGCGAAAGCGUGGGGAGCAAACAGGAUUAGAUACCCUGGUAGUCCACGCCGUAAACGAUGAGUGCUAAGUGUUGGGGGUUUCCGCCCGUCAGUUGCUGCNGCUACGCAUAGACACUCCGCCGUCGGGAGGUACGGCCGCGACGGCGUGAACGUACAAAGUAGAAGUUAGACGGCGUGAGACGUCGCCGAACGGACGACGACGAGGGAGGAGG
rnacentral:rRNA from 1 species